rnacentral:rRNA from 1 species
GACGAACGCUGGCGGCGUGCUAAACACAUGCAAGUCGAACGGUAAGGCCCUUCGGGGUACACGAGUGGCGAACGGGUGAGUAACACGUGGGUGAUCUGCCCUGCACUUCGGGAUAAGCCUGGGAAACUGGGUCUAAUACCGGAUAGGACCACUGCCUGCAUGGGUGGUGGUGGAAAGCUGUUGCGGUGUGGGAUGGGCCCGCGGCCUAUCAGCUUGUUGGUGGGGUGAUGGCCUACCAAGGCGACGACGGGUAGCCGGCCUGAGAGGGUGACCGGCCACACUGGGACUGAGAUACGGCCCAGACUCCUACGGGAGGCAGCAGUGGGGAAUAUUGCACAAUGGGCGCAAGCCUGAUGCAGCGACGCCGCGUGAGGGAUGACGGCCUUCGGGUUGUAAACCUCUUUCAGCACCGACGAAGCGCAAGUGACGGUAGGUGCAGAAGAAGGACCGGCCAACUACGUGCCAGCCGCCGCAGUAA